rnacentral:rRNA from 1 species
GACGAACGCUGGCGGCGUGCUUAACACAUGCAAGUCGAACGAAGUGGCGAACGGGUGAGUAACGCGUAAUCAACCUGCCCUUCAGAGGGGGACAACAGUUGGAAACGACUGCUAAUACCGCAUACUGAAGGAGGGGAUUGCGUCUGAUUAGCUAGUUGGAGGGGUAACGGCCCACCAAGGCGAUGAUCAGUAGCCGGUCUGAGAGGAUGAACGGCCACAUUGGGACUGAGACACGGCCCAGACUCCUACGGGAGGCAGCAGUGGGGAAUCUUCCGCAAUGGACGAAAGUCUGACGGAGCAACGCCGCGUGAGUGAUGACGGCCUUCGGGUUGUAAAGGACUUUUGUCAGGGAAGCGGUACCUGAAGAAUAAGCACCGGCUAACUACGUGCCAGCAGCCGCGGUAAUUC